UCGGACAGAAUACGAUUGAAUCGAUCUAUCGUGACUCUGCGAUAUUUCUUUCUUACUGAAGUCGAAUCGGUUCUAUGACGAAAAUUGACGACGGAAUCAUCGUAUCUCGUCUCGUAUCGUAUCCUAUGUUUGUUUACGUUUACGUGUUAUGUUGUUAUGUUGUUAUUGUUGACAUUGUCAUUUUUGUGUGACUUAAGUUUAUAGUUGUUGGAGGUGGCCAGGUACACGAUAGGCCCUACACGUAAAUUAGAUUUUAAAAUGGAAUUAACUUUAAAAGAGAUGGAAACUUGUGCAACACACAUAUAACAGAUUUAAAUUGUCAUAGGCCUACGCCAAGGAGAUUUCGGGCUAUGUAAGGUUAAAGGAAGAAUUUGACCAAUUAGAAGACUGAAGAAGGAACAUCACAGGUGCUGUUACUUAGAACUUUCUACAGCAUUGAUGAAUAUUUGUCUUGGCAGCAACUAGAGUGACUACGUUACAAGUUAAAUCAUCUUUCUACUGCAACUACUCCAAUCAACAAAGAUUUUUAAUCGAUAACAUAUUGUAUUGAUGCCUUUUUCAAUCUUAAAAAUUGUAAAAUAAAGUACUCUUGUAUUCUUGUA